UGAGUAAUGUCUGGGAAACUGCCCGAUGGAGGGGGAUAACUACUGGAAACGGUAGCUAAUACCGCAUAACGUCGCAAGACCAAAGUGGGGGACCUUCGGGCCUCACACCAUCGGAUGUGCCCAGAUGGGAUUAGCUAGUAGGUGGGGUAAUGGCUCACCUAGGCGACGAUCCCUAGCUGGUCUGAGAGGAUGACCAGCCACACUGGAACUGAGACACGGUCCAGACUCCUACGGGAGGCAGCAGUGGGGAAUAUUGCACAAUGGGCGCAAGCCUGAUGCAGCCAUGCCGCGUGUAUGAAGAAGGCCUUCGGGUUGUAAAGUACUUUCAGCGGGGAGGAAGGCGGUGGAGUUAAUAGCUUCACCGAUUGACGUUACCCGCAGAAGAAGCACCGGCUAACUCCGUGCCAGCAGCCGCGGUAAUACGGAGGGUGCAAGCGUUAAUCGGAAUUACUGGGCGUAAAUAAAGGAAAAAAGCCCAACCGCAGGGGUUUGUGUAAAAUCAGAAUUGGAA
rnacentral:rRNA from 1 species